AUUGCCCUAGUAACGGCGAGUGAAGCGGCAACAGCUCAAAUUUGAAAUCUGGCUCUCGGGCCCGAGUUGUAAUUUGUAGAGGAUGCUUUUGAUGCGGUGCCUUCCGAGUUCCCUGGAACGGGACGCCAUAGAGGGUGAGAGCCCCGUCUGGUUGGAUGCCAAAUCUCUGUAAAGCUCCUUCGACGAGUCGAGUAGUUUGGGAAUGCUGCUCUAAAUGGGAGGUAUAUGUCUUCUAAAGCUAAAUACCGGCCAGAGACCGAUAGCGCACAAGUAGAGUGAUCGAAAGAUGAAAAGCACUUUGAAAAGAGAGUUAAAAAGUACGUGAAAUUGUUGAAAGGGAAGCGUUUAUGACCAGACUUGGGCUUGGUUAAUCAUCUGGGGUUCUCCCCAGUGCACUUUUCCAGUCCAGGCCAGCAUCAGUUUUCCCCGGGGGAUAAAGGCUUCGGGAAUGUGGCUCUCUUCGGGGAGUGUUAUAGCCCGUUGCGUAAUACCCUGGGGGGGACUGAGGUUCGCGCUUCUGCAAGGAUGCUGGCGUAAUGGUCAUCAACGACCCGUCUUGAAACACGGACCAAGGAGUCGUCUUCGUAUGCGAGUGUUCGGGUGUCAAACCCCUACGCGUAAUGAAAGUGAACGCAGGUGAGAGCUUCGGCGCAUCAUCGACCGAUCCUGAUGUUCUCGGAUGGAUUUGAGUAAGAGCAUACGGGGCCGGACCCGAAAGAAGGUGAACUAUGCCUGUGUAGGGUGAAGCCAGAGGAAACUCUGGUGGAGGCUCGCAGCGGUUCUGACGUGCAAAUCGAUCGUCAAACAUGGGCAUGGGGGCGAAAGACUAAU
rnacentral:rRNA from 1 species